rnacentral:rRNA from 1 species
UUAAGCGACUAAGCGUACACGGUGGAUGCCCUGGCAGUCAGAGGCGAUGAAGGACGUGCUAAUCUGCGAUAAGCGUCGGUAAGGUGAUAUGAACCGUUAUAACCGGCGAUUUCCGAAUGGGGAAACCCAGUGUGUUUCGACACACUAUCAUUAACUGAAUCCAUAGGUUAAUGAGGCGAACCGGGGGAACUGAAACAUCUAAGUACCCCGAGGAAAAGAAAUCAACCGAGAUUCCCCCAGUAGCGGCGAGCGAACGGGGAGCAGCCCAGAGCCUGAAUCAGUGUGUGUGUUAGUGGAAGCGUCUGGAAAGGCGCGCGAUACAGGGUGACAGCCCCGUACACAAAAAUGCACAUGCUGUGAGCUCGAUGAGUAGGGCGGGACACGUGGUAUCCUGUCUGAAUAUGGGGGGACCAUCCUCCAAGGCUAAAUACUCCUGACUGACCGAUAGUGAACCAGUACCGUGAGGGAAAGGCGAAAAGAACCCCGGCGAGGGGAGUGAAAAAGAACCUGAAACCGUGUACGUACAAGCAGUGGGAGCACGCUUAGGCGUGUGACUGCGUACCUUUUGUAUAAUGGGUCAGCGACUUAUAUUCUGUAGCAAGGUUAACCGAAUAGGGGAGCCGAAGGGAAACCGAGUCUUAACUGGGCGUUAAGUUGCAGGGUAUAGACCCGAAACCCGGUGAUCUAGCCAUGGGCAGGUUGAAGGUUGGGUAACACUAACUGGAGGACCGAACCGACUAAUGUUGAAAAAUUAGCGGAUGACUUGUGGCUGGGGGUGAAAGGCCAAUCAAACCGGGAGAUAGCUGGUUCUCCCCGAAAGCUAUUUAGGUAGCGCCUCGUGAAUUCAUCUCCGGGGGUAGAGCACUGUUUCGGCAAGGGGGUCAUCCCGACUUACCAACCCGAUGCAAACUGCGAAUACCGGAGAAUGUUAUCACGGGAGACACACGGCGGGUGCUAACGUCCGUCGUGAAGAGGGAAACAACCCAGACCGCCAGCUAAGGUCCCAAAGUCAUGGUUAAGUGGGAAACGAUGUGGGAAGGCCCAGACAGCCAGGAUGUUGGCUUAGAAGCAGCCAUCAUUUAAAGAAAGCGUAAUAGCUCACUGGUCGAGUCGGCCUGCGCGGAAGAUGUAACGGGGCUAAACCAUGCACCGAAGCUGCGGCAGCGACGCUGAUGCGUUGUUGGGUAGGGGAGCGUUCUGUAAGCCUGUGAAGGUGUACUGUGAGGUAUGCUGGAGGUAUCAGAAGUGCGAAUGCUGACAUAAGUAACGAUAAAGCGGGUGAAAAGCCCGCUCGCCGGAAGACCAAGGGUUCCUGUCCAACGUUAAUCGGGGCAGGGUGAGUCGACCCCUAAGGCGAGGCCGAAAGGCGUAGUCGAUGGGAAACAGGUUAAUAUUCCUGUACUUGGUGUUACUGCGAAGGGGGGACGGAGAAGGCUAUGUUGGCCGGGCGACGGUUGUCCCGGUUUAAGCGUGUAGGCUGGUUUUCCAGGCAAAUCCGGAAAAUCAAGGCUGAGGCGUGAUGACGAGGCACUACGGUGCUGAAGCAACAAAUGCCCUGCUUCCAGGAAAAGCCUCUAAGCAUCAGGUAACAUCAAAUCGUACCCCAAACCGACACAGGUGGUCAGGUAGAGAAUACCAAGGCGCUUGAGAGAACUCGGGUGAAGGAACUAGGCAAAAUGGUGCCGUAACUUCGGGAGAAGGCACGCUGAUAUGUAGGUGAAGUCCCUUGCGGAUGGAGCUGAAAUCAGUCGAAGAUACCAGCUGGCUGCAACUGUUUAUUAAAAACACAGCACUGUGCAAACACGAAAGUGGACGUAUACGGUGUGACGCCUGCCCGGUGCCGGAAGGUUAAUUGAUGGGGUCAGCGCAAGCGAAGCUCUUGAUCGAAGCCCCGGUAAACGGCGGCCGUAACUAUAACGGUCCUAAGGUAGCGAAAUUCCUUGUCGGGUAAGUUCCGACCUGCACGAAUGGCGUAAUGAUGGCCAGGCUGUCUCCACCCGAGACUCAGUGAAAUUGAACUCGCUGUGAAGAUGCAGUGUACCCGCGGCAAGACGGAAAGACCCCGUGAACCUUUACUAUAGCUUGACACUGAACAUUGAGCCUUGAUGUGUAGGAUAGGUGGGAGGCUUUGAAGUGUGGACGCCAGUCUGCAUGGAGCCGACCUUGAAAUACCACCCUUUAAUGUUUGAUGUUCUAACGUGGACCCGUGAUCCGGGUUGCGGACAGUGUCUGGUGGGUAGUUUGACUGGGGCGGUCUCCUCCUAAAGAGUAACGGAGGAGCACGAAGGUUGGCUAAUCCUGGUCGGACAUCAGGAGGUUAGUGCAAUGGCAUAAGCCAGCUUGACUGCGAGCGUGACGGCGCGAGCAGGUGCGAAAGCAGGUCAUAGUGAUCCGGUGGUUCUGAAUGGAAGGGCCAUCGCUCAACGGAUAAAAGGUACUCCGGGGAUAACAGGCUGAUACCGCCCAAGAGUUCAUAUCGACGGCGGUGUUUGGCACCUCGAUGUCGGCUCAUCACAUCCUGGGGCUGAAGUAGGUCCCAAGGGUAUGGCUGUUCGCCAUUUAAAGUGGUACGCGAGCUGGGUUUAGAACGUCGUGAGACAGUUCGGUCCCUAUCUGCCGUGGGCGCUGGAGAACUGAGGGGGGCUGCUCCUAGUACGAGAGGACCGGAGUGGACGCAUCACUGGUGUUCGGGUUGUCAUGCCAAUGGCACUGCCCGGUAGCUAAAUGCGGAAGAGAUAAGUGCUGAAAGCAUCUAAGCACGAAACUUGCCCCGAGAUGAGUUCUCCCUGACCCUUUAAGGGUCCUGAAGGAACGUUGAAGACGACGACGUUGAUAGGCCGGGUGUGUAAGCGCAGCGAUGCGUUGAGCUAACCGGUACUAAUGAACCGUGAGGCUUAACCUU